rnacentral:rRNA from 1 species
UACGUAGGGUGCGAGCGUUGUCCGGAAUUACUGGGCGUAAAGAGCUCGUAGGCGGCUUGUCGCGUCGACUGUGAAAACCCGCGGCUCAACUGGGGAGGGUCACGCGAUACUGAUCGACUCGAAGGCAGGAGAGGGAAGUGGAAUUCCCGGUGUAGUGGUGAAAUGCGUAGAUAUCGGGAGGAACACCAGAGGCGAAGGCGGCUACCUGGACAAUUGCUGACGCUCAGGCACGAAA